rnacentral:misc_RNA from 1 species
UUCAGAGGAUAUCGAGUUGAUAGUUCAAAGUUCUUUAUGCCAUCAAAGAGAGUGGAUAAUCCAACAGACGAACACGAAAUCCGCAACACGAUGAUGAAAUCUCCUUGUUCUGAUGCAAAGUAGCUUUGAAAAGAAGACGAUCGACGAUCACAUUGCUUUUCAGGUGGAUGAUCUCUCCUCGGGAAGGGGAGGGUUGAAGAUGCG